GAUGAAGAACGUAGCGAAAUGCGAUAAGUAAUGUGAAUUGCAGAUUUCAGUGAAUCAUCGAAUCUUUGAACGCACAUUGCGCCCAUUAGUAUUCUAGUGGGCAUGCCUGUUCGAGCGUCAUUAAGUCCACUUAAGCCCUGCUUAGUGUUGGGAGACUGCUCCAGCGGUGCUACCCUGUAGCUACCCUGCAGCUCCUCAAAGACAGCGGCGGAGUUGUGGUAUCCUCUGAGCUUAGUAACUUGUUCUAGCUUUCGAGUACACCACUUCCCCUGCCGUAAAACCCUUAAUUUUUAAUGGUUGACCUCGGAUCAGGUAGGAAUACCCGCUGAACUUAAGCAUAUCAUAAGCGGAGGA
rnacentral:misc_RNA from 1 species